ACCUCAAAGCUAGCCUAUAUAUCAACUUCAACUAGACCUAAUAAAUCUAAUUCACACUAUAAUUUUUUAACCAAAACAUUCUUAACCUUUUAGUAUGGGCGACAGAACAAUAACUUCAGCGCAAUAGCUUAUGUACCGCAAGGGAAAGCUGAAAAAGAAAUGAAAUAAAUUAUUAAAGUACUAAAAAGCAGAGAUUACAUCUCGUACCUUUUGCAUCAUGAUUUAGCUAGAAAAACUAGGCAAAAAGAUCUUAAGUCUAUCCUCCCGAAACUAAACGAGCUACUCCGAAGCAGCAUUAUAGAGCUAACCCGUCUCUGUGGCAAAAGAGUGGGAAGACUUCCGAGUAGCGGUGAAAAGCCUACCGAGUUUAGUGAUAGCUGGUUACCCAAAAAAAGAACUUCAAUUCUGCAUUAAUUUUUUAAUUACCUAGACAAGACUCUCCUUAUCAAAGGAACUCAUAAGAAUUAAUAGUUAUUUAGAAGAGGUACAGCCCUUCUAAACCAAGAUACAACUUUUUAAGAUGGGAAAUGAUCAUAAUUACCAAGGUAAUCCCCUCAGUGGGCCUAAAAGCAGCCACCUGUAAAGCAAGCGUCGCAGCUCCAGCUCAAUAACCAAACCCUUAAUCCCGAUACCCACUCACUACCCUCCUUACUUAUUGGGUUAUUUUAUAAAAAUAUAAAAGAACUUAUGCUAAAAUGAGUAAUAAAGAGAAUAUAUCUCUCCUAACACAAGUGUAUGUCAGAAGAAUUAAAUCACUGAUAAUUAAACGGCCCCAAACUGAGGCUACUAUACUAUUUAAACAUCAACCAGAAAACCCUAUUCUUCCACCCGUUAACCCUACACAGGAGUGUUACCAGGAAAGAUUA
rnacentral:rRNA from 1 species